UCCUAAAAAGGAUCCAAGGAGGUGGCCGAAAGAUUUGAAGCCACUCCAUGAUACCAGACGAAGAUUAUAAGUUAAUUUUUCUUAAACCGACCCUCGUAUUAGCGUAUUCCUAUUGGUUAAGAUUAUGUGCAUAGCUAAACAAUCAAUUCAAGGGUAUUAUUUGAAGCUACUCCAUGAUACCAGACGGAUUUAAUAUAUAAGUUAAUAUUUCUUAAACCGACCCUCGUAUUAGCGUAUCCCUAUUGGUUAAGAUUGUGUGCAUAGCUAAACAAUCUAUCUGUGUCAACAUUUGAAGGCGUUCCAUAACACCAGCAGAAAAUAACCUCAUUUUUCAUCACACCGACUCCUUGCCACCGACCCUCUGUAAGCAUAUCUCAUUGGGUCAAGAUUACUCGUACUUGCACAAUUAAACAAUCUAUAUUUUACGGUAGUAGUAUUUGAAGCCACUCAGCAGUAGAUAACAUGCUCAUUUUCAUCACACCGACUCCCUGACACCGACCCUCUGUAAGCAUAUCUCACUGGGUUAAGAUUCCGUGCAUAGCUAAACCGUCUUUUUCAAGGGUAUAAACAUUUGCAGCCACUCCAUGAUGCCAGCAGUAGAUAACGGUCGGUAUUAUUAGACACUUUCGCUUCUCACAUCAGCUAUUUCUAAAGGUCAAAGAGGGGGUCAGUCGGAUUCUAAUGAGUGUUUCUUUAGGUUCACGGUACAGAUGAAGGGUCACACUACCACCAGGGUCAUUAAGCUACUCCUAGAAAUGGCCACAACUCCUACGAAAGGCUUGUCAAAUAUGUGUUCUUAUAAUACGAACCAACAUGUUCAUUUUCAUUACACCGAGCCUCUGUAACCAUAUCUCUUUUAGGUUAAGACUCCGUGCAUAGCUAAACAGUAUCUCAAAGGGUAUUUACAGCAGUAGAUUACUUGUCCAAUUUCAUCACACCGACCCUUUGUAAUCAUAUCUCUUUUAGGUUAAGACUCCGUGCAUAGCUAAACAGUAUCUCAAAGGGUAGUUACAGCAGUAGAUUACUUGUCCAAUUUCAUCACACCGACCCUUUGUAAUCAUAUCUCUUUUAGGUUAAGACUCCGUGCAUAGCUAAACAGUAUCUCAAAAGGUAAUUACAGCAGUAUAUAACAAGUUCAUUUUCAUCACACCGACCGUCUGUAAGCAUAUCUCUUUUAGGUUAAGACUCCGUGCAUAGCUAAACAGUAUCUCAAAAGGUAUUUACAGCAGUAUAUAACAAGUUCAUUUUCA